rnacentral:rRNA from 1 species
UACGGGAGGCAGCAGUGGGGAAUAUUGCACAAUGGGCGAAAGCCUGAUGCAGCUAUGCCGCGUGUAUGAAGAAGGCCUUAGGGUUGUAAAGUACUUUCAUCGGGGAGGAAAAACAAAACUAAUAAUUUUAUUUCUUGACGUUACCCGAAAAAGAAGCACCGGCUAACUCCGUGCCAGCAGCCGCGGUAAUACGGAGGGUGCUAGCGUUAAUCAGAAUUACUGGGCGUAAAGAGCACGUAGGUGGUUUUUUAAGUCAGAUGUGAAAUCCCUGGGCUUAACCUAGGAACUGCAUUUUGAAAUUGAAAAUACUAGAGUAUCGUAGAGGGAGGUAGAAUUCUAGGUGUAGCGGUGAAAUGCGUAGAUAUCUGGAGGAAUACCUGUGGCGAAAGCGGCCUCCUAAACGAAUACUGACACUGAGGUGCGAAAGCGUGGGGAGCAAAACAGGGAUUAGAUACC